rnacentral:rRNA from 1 species
UACGUAGGGGGCAAGCGUUGUCCGGAUUCAUUGGGCGUAAAGCGCGCGCAGGCGGCUUCGUAAGUCGGCCGUGAAAUCUCCAGGCUCAACUUGGAGGGGUCGGGCGAGACUGCGGAGCUCGAGGCAGGUAGAGGGCGGUGGAAUUCCGGGUGUAGUGGUGGAAUGCGUAGAGAUCCGGAGGAACACCAGUGGCGAAGGCGGCCGCCUGGGCCUGACCUGACGCUGAGGCGCGAAAGCGUGGGGAGCGAACAGG